rnacentral:rRNA from 1 species
AUGGGAGCGGCGGAGGAGGAAGACUGCCCGCAGCGCGGGCAUGCGCUGCCCUGCCCCAGGGUUCCGCGGCGGUGGCGGCGGCCCCCAAAUGGCGGCGGAAGAGGCAGAUGGCGGCGGAGGCGGAGGAGGAAGACAUUGGCGGAGGAGACGGGGAACCCUAGGAAAACGAGUCGUGGUCCUCGCUCAAGCGGCGGGGGGCGAGGGAUGGAGUAG